rnacentral:lncRNA from 1 species
AUUAUAAAAGGGAGGCAAAGAUCUGCACCUGCCGUGGAGGUUGGGCUCAUGUGCUCCUCUGCACUGGAGUUAGCCAAGGAGCGUGUGCAGAACACUUGCCUCGUAGGCCAGCCGUACAGAAGGAUGUCCCAGGUGCAGGCGAAGUUUUGUUCACGUGUUCCUGGAGGAUUUUUCCCGUGGCAAGCGCUUCUCCAUCCUCCAGCAUCUCAGGCCUGUGCACCAGCCUUCCUGUGCCCAUUGAUGGACUGAGAGGAAGAUGAGCCCUUAGGAUGCCUGUCAUGCUCACUGUUAAG